rnacentral:rRNA from 1 species
GAUGAACGCUUGCGGGAGGCCUAACACAUGCAAGCCGAGCGGUAUUGUUUCUUCGGAAAUGAGAGAGCGGCGUACGGGUGCGGAACACGUGUGCAACCUGCCUUUAUCUGGGGGAUAGCCUUUCGAAAGGAAGAUUAAUACUCCAUAAUAUAUUGAACGGCAUCGUUUAAUAUUGAAAGCUCCGGCGGAUAGAGAUGGGCACGCGCAAGAUUAGCUAGUUGGUGAGGUAACGGCUCACCAAGGCGAUGAUCUUUAGGGGGCCUGAGAGGGUGAUCUCCCACACUGGUACUGAGACACGGACCAGACUCCUACGGGAGGCAGCAGUGAGGAAUAUUGGUCAAUGGGUGCAAGCCUGAACCAGCCAUCCCGCGUGAAGGACGACUGCCCUAUGGGUUGUAAACUUCUUUUGUAUAGGGAUAAACCUACCCUCGUGAGGGUAGCUGAAGGUACUAUACGAAUAAGCACCGGCUAACUCCGUGCCAGCAGCCGCGGUAAUACGGAGGGUGCAAGCGUUAUCCGGAUUUAUUGGGUUUAAAGGGUCCGUAGGCGGACUUAUAAGUCAGUGGUGAAAGCCUGUCGCUUAACGAUAGAACUGCCAUUGAUACUGUAAGUCUUGAGUAUAUUUGAGGUAGCUGGAAUAAGUAGUGUAGCGGUGAAAUGCAUAGAUAUUACUUAGAACACCAAUUGCGAAGGCAGGUUACCAAGAUAUAACUGACGCUGAGGGACGAUAGCGUGGGGAGCGAACAGGAUUAGAUACCCUGGUAGUCCACGCCGUAAACGAUGCUAACUCGUUUUUGGGCUUUAGGGUUCAGAGACCAAGCGAAAGUGAUAAGUUAGCCACCUGGGGAGUACGCUCGCAAGGGUGAAACUCAAAGGAAUUGACGGGGGCCCGCACAAGCGGUGGAUUAUGUGGUUUAAUUCGAUGAUACGCGAGGAACCUUACCAAGACUUAAAUGGGAAUUGACAGCUUUAGAAAUAGAGCUUUCUUCGGACAAUUUUCAAGGUGCUGCAUGGUUGUCGUCAGCUCGUGCCGCGAGGUGUUAGGUUAAGUCCUGCAACGAGCGCAACCCCUGUCACUAGUUGCCAUCAUUCAGUUGGGGACUCUAGUGAGACUGCCUACGCAAGUAGAGAGGAAGGUGGGGAUGACGUCAAAUCAUCACGGCCCUUACGUCUUGGGCCACACACGUAAUACAAUGGCCGGUACAGAGGGCAGCUACACAGCGAUGUGAUGCAAAUCUCGAAAGCCGGUCUCAGUUCGGAUUGGAGUCUGCAACUCGACUCUAUGAAGCUGGAAUCGCUAGUAAUCGCGCAUCAGCCAUGGCGCGGUGAAUACGUUCCCGGGCCU